AACGAACGCUGGCGGCAUGCCUAACACAUGCAAGUCGAACGAAGCCUUCGGGCUUAGUGGCGCACGGGUGCGUAACGCGUGGGAAUCUGCCCCUUGCUUCGGAAUAACAGUUAGAAAUGACUGCUAAUACCGGAUGAAGUCUUCGGACCAAAGAUUUAUCGGCAAGGGAUGAGCCCGCGUAGGAUUAGGUAGUUGGUGGGGUAAAGGCCUACCAAGCCGACGAUCCUUAGCUGGUAAGAGAGGAUGAUCAGCCACACUGGGACUGAGACACGGCCCAGACUACUACGGGAGGCAGCAGUGGGGAAUAUUGGAAAAUGGACGCAAGGCUGAUCCAGCAAUGCCGCGUGAGUGAUGAAGGCAUUAGGGUUGUAAAGCUCUUUUACCAGGGAUGAUAAUGACAGUACCUGGAGAAUAAGCUCCGGCUAACUCCGUG
rnacentral:rRNA from 1 species